rnacentral:rRNA from 1 species
GACGAACGCUGGCGGCGUGCUUAACACAUGCAAGUCGAGCGGUAAGGCCCUUUCGGGGGUACGACGAGCGGCGAACGGGUGAGUAACACGUGGGUGACCUGCCCUCAGCUCUGGGAUAAGCCUGGGAAACCGGGGUCUAAUACUGGAUAUGACUCCAUGACGCAUGUUGUGGGGUGGAAAGCCUUGUGCGGCUGAGGAUGGGCCCGCGGCCUAUCAGCUUGUUGGUGGGGUGAUGGCCUACCAAGGCGACGACGGGUAGCCGGCCUGAGAGGGCGACCGGCCACACUGGGACUGAGACACGGCCCAGACUCCUACGGGAGGCAGCAGUGGGGAAUCUUGCGCAAUGGGCGAAAGCCUGACGCAGCGACGCCGCGUGAGGGAUGACGGCCU